GCCAGACCUGACUGCUAUCGGAUUGAUACUAAGCCAUGCGAGUCAUUGUAGCAAUACAAGGCAUACGGCUCAGUAACGCGUAGUCAACCUAACCUAUGGACGGGAAUAACCUCGGGAAACUGAGAAUAAUGCCCGAUAGAACAUUAUACCUGGAAUGGUUUAUGUUCCAAAUGAUUUAUCGCCGUAGGAUGGGACUGCGGCCUAUCAGUUUGUUGGUGAGGUAAUGGCCCACCAAGACUAUUACAGGUACGGGCUCUGAGAGGAGUAGCCCGGAGAUGGGUACUGAGACACGGACCCAGGCCCUAUGGGGCGCAGCAGGCGAGAAAACUUUGCAAUGUGCGAAAGCACGACAAGGUUAAUCCGAGUGAUUUCUGCUAAAGAAAUCUUUUGUUAGUCCUAGAAACACUAACGAAUAAGGGGUGGGCAAGUUCUGGUGUCAGCCGCCGCGGUAAAACCAGCACCUCAAGUGGUCAGGAUGAUUAUUGGGCCUAAAGCAUCCGUGGCCGGCUCUGUAAGUUUUCGGUUAAAUCUGUACGCUUAACGUACAGGCCGCCGGGAAUACUGCAAAGCUAGGGAGUGGGAGAAGUAGACGGUACUCGGUAGGAAGUGGUAAAAUGCUUUGAUCUAUCGAUGACCACCUGUGGCGAAGGCGGUCUACUAGAACACGUCCGACGGUGAGGGAUGAAAGCUGGGGGAGCAAACCGGAUUAGAUACCCGGGUAGUCCCAGCUGUAAACUAUGCAAACUCAGUGAUGCAUUGGCUUGUGGCCAAUGCAGUGCUGCAGGGAAGCCGUUAAGUUUGCCGCCUGGGAAGUACGUACGCAAGUAUGAAACUUAAAGGAAUUGGCGGGGGAGCACCACAAGGGGUGAAGCCUGCGGUUCAAUUGGAUUCAACGCCGGG
rnacentral:rRNA from 1 species